rnacentral:lncRNA from 1 species
CCAGCUUGCUAAUAAAUAAAAGAAAAUACUAGCAGCAGUACAAGAUAAGAAAGCAAGAGGAAUUUGAUUCGAUACUGGAAGAACAAGAAUCCAGCUACCAAAUCAAUCUCUCUCUGUCUCACUCCCUUAUCCUCUUAACCUCUUCACAAAGGGUUUGAUUUAUUAUUGUUUUUCUUUUUCUUUUGUUCAUGUGGGAACAUGCAUGUAUGACAGGGUGCAGGUGUCAGAUACGGAUGGGCACAAUACAAUGGGGAAGGAGGAUGCAAAGCAACAAAGCCAGCGUCAGGCCAGCCAGCAUAGAGCACGGUUUGUAUAUAUGUGCAUAUAUGAUUCAAACAUACUAGUGAUAUAUACAUGUGUACAUGUAUGCAUGCACUUGCUUCCAAGCCACACACACCAGAGGAAUAUCACACAGGCAGAAGCAAACAGGCCAGCAGCACAUCGAUCAUAGAUCACAUACAAACACGCAAUGCAAUGCAAUGUAAUGUAAUGCAGGAAGCAUCAAUGAAUGAAUGAAUGUGUGAUCUCUCUACCAAAGCAAACGAGCCACAAAUCCAGCCAGCAUGCAGUUGGCAGAUACUAGACACCCUGCCAACUUCCAAAGCAAGCUCACUCAGCUGCUAAUCCAGACAAAACCUGCAAAUUUAAUGCACUAACUAGUUGCUUGCUUGCUUGCAUGCAUGCAUGGCCCCAGCAGCAGCUCCAGCUAAGCUCAAGAAUGGAAAUUUAGGGUUACAAAUGUUCAUCCUUGAAAAGGGAAAGGGAAUGAAAUGUGAGGAGAAAAAAAGGGGGUUAGUGUCUGAUUAAUCCCAAACUGGUGAACAAGAAGAAAAAAGAAAAAAGAAGAAGAGGAGACAACCAAGAAACAAUGGAAGGAAAAGAAGAAUUCUAGAAAUGGGUCUCCUCCCAUACAUCGGAGUACAAUGUAGGUAAUAAUGGCGAAAUUUGGGGACCUUUUCACCAAAAAACUCUUCUCUUUUUUUUCUCUUUGGAAGUUCUCUAAUAGCUAGUCAUCGGCUCAGCGAAAAGGAUGCACAAUUGCGAGAAGGUCCCCCUACAAUUAGUGAAUUGCAGAGCUCGACUUCAGCGGCGGCGCCGGCGCCGGCGACGACUCGGGGGGCGGUGGUGGCGUCUCAUACGUAGCCGUUGCGGCUGAGGGGGAGGAGGGCGGAG